rnacentral:rRNA from 1 species
GACAGAGGUUGCAAACGUUGUUCGGAAUUACUGGGCAUAAGGCGCGCGUAGGCGGUCCGUUAAGUCAUGUGUGAAAUCCCCCGGCUCAACCGGGGAAUUGCGCCUGAUACUGGCGGGCUAGAGAUCGAUAGGGGUGAGUGGAACUCCAGGUGGAGCGGUGAAAUGCGUAGAUAUCUGGAGGAACACCGGUGGCGAAAGCGGCUCACUGGAUCGAUACUGACGCUGAGGUGCGAAAGCUAGGGUAGCAAACGGG